UGGCCCUACGGGGGGCAGCAGUGAGGUAUAUUGGUCAAUGGGCGGGAGCCUGAACCAGCCAAGUCGCGUGAGGGAAGACGGUCCUACGGAUUGUAAACCUCUUUUGCCGGGGAGCAACGGGGUCCUUGCGAGGGCCCGAUGAGAGUACCCGGAGAAAAAGCAUCGGCUAACUCCGUGCCAGCAGCCGCGGUAAUACGUAGGUGGCAAGCGUUGUCCGGAUUUAUUGGGCGUAAAGCGAGGGUAGGCG
rnacentral:rRNA from 1 species